rnacentral:rRNA from 1 species
UACGGGGGGUGCAAGCGUUGUUCGGAAUUAUUGGGCGUAAAGAGCUCGUAGGCGGUGUGUCGCGUCGGCCGUGAAAACCUGCAGCUUAACUGUGGGCGUGCGGUCGAUACGGGCAUCACUGGAGUUCGGCAGGGGAGACUGGAAUUCCUGGUGUAGCGGUGAAAUGCGCAGAUAUCAGUAGGAACACCGGUGGCGAAGGCGUGUCUCUGGGCCUUACCUGACGCUCAGGUGCGAAAGCUAGGGGAGCGAACAGG